GAUGAAGAACGUAGCGAAAUGCGAUAAGUAAUGUGAAUUGCAGAAUUCAGUGAAUCAUCGAAUCUUUGAACGCACAUUGCGCCCCCUGGUAUUCCGGGGGGCAUGCCUGUCCGAGCGUCAUUACAACCCUCAAGCUCAGCUUGGUGUUGGGCCCCGCCGCCCCGGCGGGCCCUAAAGUCAGUGGCGGUGCCGUCCGGCUCCGAGCGUAGUAAUUCUUCUCGCUCUGGAGGUCCGGUCGUGUGCUCGCCAGCAACCCCCAAUUUUUUUCAGGUUGACCUCGGAUCAGGUAGGAUUACCCGCUGAACUUAAGCAUAUCAAUAAGCGGAGGA
rnacentral:misc_RNA from 1 species